GACAGAGGAUGCAAGCGUUAUCCGGAAUGAUUGGGCGUAAGCGUCUGUAGGUGGCUUUCAAGUCCGCCGUCAAAUCCCAGGGCUCAACCCUGGACAGGCGGUGGAAACUACCAAGCUGGAGUACGGUAGGGCAGAGGGAAUUUCCGGUGGAGCGGUGAAAUGCAUUGAGAUCGGAAAGAACACCAACGGCGGAAAGCAGCUCUGCUGGGCCGACACUGACACUGAGAGACGAAAGC
rnacentral:rRNA from 1 species